rnacentral:rRNA from 1 species
AUUGAACGCUGGCGGCAGGCCUAACACAUGCAAGUCGAACGAGUGGCGGACGGGUGAGUAAUGUCUGGGAAACUGCCUGAUGGAGGGGGAUAACUACUGGAAACGGUAGCUAAUACCGCAUACCAUCAGAUGUGCCCAGAUGGGAUUAGCUAGUUGGUGGGGUAACGGCUCACCAAGGCGACGAUCCCUAGCUGGUCUGAGAGGAUGACCAGCCACACUGGAACUGAGACACGGCCCAGACUCCUACGGGAGGCAGCAGUAGGGAAUAUUCGACAAUGGGCGAAAGUCUGACCCAGCCACGCCGCGUGAGUGAAGAAGGUCUUCGGGUCGUAAAGCUCUGUUGUUAGAGAGGCGGUAUCUAAACAGGAAGCCACGGCUAACUACGUGCCAGCAGCCGCGGUAAUAC